CCUGGCUGCAGGUUCGGCAGACGCUCGGCACUCUCUGCAGGGUUGUGCAAAUUGUUCCACCGUGCAGGCGCUGGCAGGUCGGACUGCGUGUUUGCUCGUUUUGUCCCGGAGCUAUGCCACGCUGAGGUCCCGACUGCCCUGACCCGUUUUGGACUGCUGCUGCUUUGUGUGGGGAUAAAACCCACACUUUUUACGGACCUUGCCUGCUGCUGCGUUCGGGUGCUGAGGGCCUCACUGGUGAUCCUGUUUGGUGAUGGUGUCCCUUCGUGUGUAGUGUCUUAUUCACUCCCCUCCUUUGUUUUGCUUUGCCCUUGUGUGUUUGGAGUGUUAAUUUUGGAUUGUGGUGCUCCCAUUUUAAGUUUAUACUUUCACCCCUCACUCACCUUGAGCACAACUGCCCCAGCCCUGGAAUACAUGAUAAUUUAUACAAAUAGGAUAACUUUUUUUAGAUUUGAAUUGUGCCCAAUAAACUGUUGUAUAUGCUUUUGGAAACACGUCUCUCGCCUGCUCAGUGUAACGAACUUGUGUUGUCCUUUUGUUUAGAUUUAGUAAUUUACCUUAUUCAUAGAUUUCUUUCUUUUCCCUGGGUGAUUUCUCCCAGGGUGGCGUUGCUGGUUUCCUUUAGUUUUUCUUUUUCCCCUAGUUAAAAACAUAGAUUAUUGGGGUAGUUCCUACCCCACCUCACGCUUGCCACAUGAACAUAAG
ensembl:lncRNA